rnacentral:lncRNA from 1 species
GCGUUUGAAGCUCAGCAUCUCUCUGACAGAGCAGUAAUACAUCCAAUCCCAAGAAUCUGGAUAAAGUCAAGCCCUCUGCCUCUUCUCAUCUUCUAACAAAACUAAACAGGGAUGGUGCUUGAAGGACACUCCAGCAGAUGAGACAGAGGUGGCUUUUUCCUUCCUUGCCUUCUGUAGGUUGGCUUUUUGAGGGGCCUCUGAUGAGAAGAGGCAAGGCUUCAACAGCCAGCCAAACACCAGGAUCCAGGCUGAGGCUCAAGUACGUGAUGUGCAGACUGUCCCUAACACACUGCAGGACCCAAGCUCAACAAGAUACAGACCACAGGCCAGAUGGCCUUUUCCCUGGGUCUGGGUGGCAUGAGAGUACCACUGACUACUUGGAAAUUGCUUUAAGGAAUGUUUUAACUUCAUUUUGCACUUAAUGUCAGCUUCCCACCUAAGCAGAAGUGUGCUUAAGACAAGGCUUAAAUUGUGAAAGAAAACCACAAUAAAAAUAGCAAGUUGCCAUAAAAAUA